rnacentral:lncRNA from 1 species
UGAUAUUCAUUCGUUCCUGUAAUAAAAGUAGGGUUAGGUUUGACUCUGACUAUCCCUUUUUGAAAACAAGUUUCUAAUUUUGUGAUUCCCUUCUUGACAUGCCAAUUUAGCCAAAUGGCCCUUUACCAAUUCCAUAUGAAUUUUGAGGCCGGAUAGGGUUUAUUCAGUGACAGUUUUCAACUUUGUCCAUUCUUUUACGGAGAUAGCCCUUCGAUAAUGGGAGAAUAUUCUAAGGUUUCUCAGUAAGAAUGGUUUGAAACGCUACCGACACUAAAUCGGCUUAUUUCUCACAUUUUUGUGUUUUUUAUUCUAUUUUCAAAAUGAGGCCGAACCUUAUGUAGGUUGCCUAUGUAUCCUAUAUCCGAUGGGAAACAGACCUGCGUAGUUCGGCAAAUACAACUACUUUUGAAACAAGACAUUUUUUUCUUCUUUUUUCAUUCGCAAAUAAACAAACUAAUUUUGAACACAAGGCUCCUUUUCUUUUCAUUGGCAAAUAGAACAAACUAAUUUUUGAAAACAAAACUCUCUUCCUCUUUUUUUUUUCAUUGGCGACAAGCUAUUUUUGAAAACAAAACUCUUUGUUGGCUAUUCUUGAAAACAGAACGUGUUUUUCUUUUUAUUGGCGACCAAUAGUCUUUUCCCUUUUCUUCGAGCUAUUUCCAAGCAUUGGUUUUUUUAGAACCAGGCUUACUCCUUUCCUACAACACUCUUGGUAUUUUCUUCUCUUUUCUUUUCCUCGUUUUCCUCUGAUUUUUCCUUACUUUCUUAUUUAGCCGGUUAGCAUGCAAGCCGAAAUAAAUAAAUGUUCACAUAACACAUUGGAUCCAUCAUGAUGGUUUGUUAUCUUGGGCAUACCUAUCCUAGACGAACCAAACUCGUGUGUUGAGUCCCCUAAGUCAAAAUACACGUGAUACAAAUAAGCGCUCCUACUAGGCAUCCAACAUGAGGUUGUGUUUUUCUAAGUUUAAAUCGCGGGAUUUUGAUCUAGACUUCGGGUACCCGAGCGGACAACUGGGGCCGAGGAGGAGGCAACGUACUGGGAGCACUAAAGUUUGGCCGUCCUUGUCGCUUGCCCAGCCUCGCUCUAUUUGGUAUAAUGUCUACAAAAAGGGGGCUACGUGAGCGUAUGCACCAUUUUCAAAAGACUCAGAAGGGGGUAGCGUAAGAAAGCAAUUAUAUACCAUUAUACAAUAUUAAAGCGGUAAAUAGAUAGCAUUUUAGCACAAAGGUUCACAAAAGUACAAUAAUAUCAACAAUAAAUAAGCCAAGUAAAAAUCAUAAAACAAGCUCGAAUUCUUGAACUCUGAACCGGAGAUUCUGGGUUAUUUCCCCAGCAGAGUCGCUAGAGCUGUCACACCUCCUUUUUCCAUUACUACACCCCAGAAAGGAUAUAAUAAAUGGAGUUUUUUCCAAUUUAAGUGACAAUCGAAAUGAGAUUAAUUAUUAAAAUCAGAGUCGCCACUUGGGAUAAUUUUGUGGUAUCCUAAGUCACCAGUUUAAAAUCCCGAAUCGAGGAAAGAAUGACCCCGUUAUUUUAGUCGGCGAAUCAGAAAUUCGCGUAAGGAAUUAUCAUAAAACAAGCUCGAAUUCUUGAACCCUGAACCAUAGAUUCUGGGUUCGUUCCCCAGCAGAUUCGCUAGAGCUGUCACACCUCCUUUUUCAUUAAUACACCCCAGAAAGGGUAUAAUAAAGGGAGUUUUUUACAAAUUAAGUGACAAAUCGAAAUGGGAUUAUUUAUUAAAAAUCAGAGUCUCCACUUGGAAUAAUUUAUGGUGUCCCAAGUCACGGUUUAAAAUCCCAAAUCGAGGAAAGAAUGACUAUGUUAUUAUAGUCUCCAAAUCAGAAAUCCGGGUAAGGAAUUCUAUUAUCCCAGGAGAAGGUGUUAGGCACUCCGAAAUUCCGUGGUUCUACCACGGCCACUUUGAUCCUACUUGGCUUGUUAUAUUAUUUAAUUACUGAUUUUUAAACGUAUGUGAUUUUGCUUCUUUUACCGCUUUUAAUUAGAAAAUUAUCUUGAAAUAGGUUACGCGUACGUAUACCCGCUUGUUUGGCGCGUCAAAAACCAUGUCACGCAAACGUGUCCACAAUUAAUAACGCUUAAUUAUUUUUAAGAUAGUUUGGGCCGAAGUUGCGGGAACACAUACUCCAGUUUUAUUUUAUAAGUGUAAUUGCGUUACGCGGACGUAUACACAAUCACACUAGUAUUUUAAACGGCCCUAAAGGAUAUUCUAUGAAAUAUUUUACCUAACUUAUGAAAUUACUAAAGGCCAUAUGUGAUUUUAUAAACUAACAUAAACUAAAAAAAUAAUUAAAACUUGUAAUCUAUUUUAUUAUUAAGAAAAGAUUGGUCGAACUUGCGCGAACGCAUACUCCAAAUUAAUGUAGGAUCAUGGUCAUGUUAUACGAACGUAUACGCAACCACAAUCGUGGAUCAAAAGCGGGUCUAAAAGCAUACUAUCGAAUUCAUAAAUUAAUUUUAUCGAAUUCAUAAAUUAAUUUAUCGUAUGGUUUAGGACUAACUUUACAUCAACUCUAUUCAACUAAGUUAUGAAAACUUCUUACUUUCUGCCACAAUUUUCGUCAAAUUUUUACGGAAACAAGAGAUAAAACAAAAAUAAUGGAAGCGAGUCAUCAUCAAGAAUACAUUAUUUUGUGAUAGAAGCAUGAUUUGACAUAUUAACGACUUGAUAAACUUUAUGCUAUUAUCUUAUAUUUUCGUGGUUCUUAUUAUCCUAUAACAGUUGAGAAUUACUGGGACGUUGUUUAUCACUCCAAAUCCAAAGUGAUUACAUUUGCACUAAUAUUUAAGAUCCAGUGAUGUUUUACAUAUUUUUCAAGUAAUGGAUAUAACUGCAAACAAACAAAUUAACAAUAGCUGAACUCCCAUCCCUCAUUAUCAAACCUACGACUCACUGCCAAAACAUAGAGUAACGAACACAAAUGAAAGAAGAAUCAGAUAGCAAACCAAUUUAAGUCCAUUUUUGACAUUGAAUAACAGAGAUAAAAAUUAGACCCAAAAAAAACCGUAUAUCAUUUCAAGCUGAGUGCGAUAGAAGAGAUGACCUUAGAGAUAUAUUUCCCAAAUGAAAUCUGAAAGCGUUAAACUAAAACUUGACGGAACCGCGACAUGAUUUACCAACGGACCUCGAAUCGACACCUCGGAUUUGCCAACGGACAGCUCAAAACCCAAAUACGACCUCAAUCCAACUUUACGAGCCGACAUCGAAACAGAGAUCGAAAAUUUCGAUUGAACAAAAUCAAGAAGAAGCAUUGGAAGAACAAAAAUGAGAAGCAAAAUUGAAAUCCCAGCUUUCUUUAAUUUUGCGUGUGUGUGUUCCAACGAGUGGGUGGUGAAGAGUCAACAACUAUGGUUGCUGCUAUGUGAAGAAGGAAGAAGGAGAAGCCCAGGGGUGUUGGGCUUAUGGCUGCUACUGCAGCUUUUAGAUCUUUAGGGUUCAUUGGGAGAAGACCAUGAUCAGUGGGGCGGGUCUACGUGUGUUCACGAUGGGAGAUGAAGAAGAUGGAGGUUUCCGGUGACCUGUGGUGGUGGGGGCGGGGGGGCGUUCUUUGCACCCUCUGUGUAGCCUCCCUAUAUCAGGUGUGUAAUCUCUAUAUCCUUCAAGAGUUAGGCAUUACGGUUUUAGGUGGGGAAAUGGGUUUGUGUAUUGGGUCGGGUCAGGUCGACCCGGUUUGGGGUUGGGUAGGGGCUGAUUUGGGUUGAUUUUAAAGGGAAAUUCCAUUGGGCUUAAAAAUGUAAGUAAAGAUCAGCCCAACAAUAU